CAUUGACAGGGGAGUUUUGCCUCAUCACUAUGGAUCUGUGUCAUUGGCUUUCAGGGGGUUCAUGAAAUCAUGGAAAUUGUACACAAAUUAAUUGUAUAAGUAGGCAUAUGCAUUUUUCUGGGGAGAGGCUCCAUAAUUUUCAGUAGAUUAUCAAAGGAUCCAUGACGCAAAAAAUUUCACUGAGAUUGCUGACUAAUUUACACUGUCAGUUAACAGUCAAAGAGGUCUGGGAGUUUGACAUUAAUAGGUGAUUCUGGUGUCCAUUUGCUAUUUGUUUCUUGUAUCCCAAAGAUAAUUCCAAGAGAAGAUUGUUAAGAUUUUUAUUAUUGUUAACAAAAUGAAAAACUGACAUUUACAAAAUUGUAUUGCUUUUUUUUCUAUAAAAUGCUCUGUUUUUAAAUGUAAAAAUGAAAUUGACAUUAAAGAAAACAUUUAAAAAAUUUUCCAUUGUAUUUUCACUUUAACCCCACUGUUUAUCAUUUUGGUUUAUUUUCUUCCAAUAUUUUCCAUAUAUUUCUUAUCUAUACAUAAUUGUAGUUAUAAUAUACACAGAGUUUAUAUCUUACUUCUUAUGCACUAGUACAUCAUCAAUAUUUUCCAUCGUUUUACAUAGUUUGAAAAAAAAUGACUUUGAAUGAUUUAAGCAUCCACUGAGUUGAUGUUUCAUAAUAUUUUAUUUGUGAUAGAGUUUUUGAAGUAUGCACUCAGAAAAGUACACAAAUCACAAUUGCACAGCUUUAUGAAUAUUCAUAAAGUGAACACACCUAUGUAACAACCUUCCACAUCAAGAGGUAGAGCAUCACCAGCCCCUUCCUGUUUCCCACCUCCUUCCCAAAAGGACACUACCAUGACUUCUAACACUAUGGAUUAACUUUGCUUAGUUUUGAAAUUUAUAUACAUAGAGUCCUAUGGUACAUACUCUUCUGUCUGACUUUUUUCACUUAGCAUUUUGUUUGUGAGAUGCAUCCAUGUGGCCAUAUGGAGUAGUAGUUUGUUCAUUUUCAUAACUGUAUAGUAUUCUAUUGUUAAGAUUUUUUACCACAGUUUAUCCAAAUCUUACUGUUGAUAGACAUUUGAGUUAUUUCCAGUUUUGAGUUAUUGCAAACAAUGCUAUUAUGACCAUUUUUGUAUGUAUCUUUUGGUUCACAUAUGUAAUCACUUUCUGUUGGGUUAUGUAUCCAGGAGUGGAAUUGCUGAGUUAGAUUGGUGAUGCAUAUGUUUAGCUCUAAUAGAUACUACAGAUACCUUUGGUUAAGUUUGCACACUCUGCUGUGGUGGCCUGGGGUCUUCAGUUUUGGAUCCUGGGCAUGGACCUAUACACUACUCUUCAAACCAUACUGUGGCAGCAUCCCACACACAAAAUAGAAGAAGAUUUACACAGAUGUUAGCUCAGGAACAAUCUUCCUCACCAAAAACAAGAAAAAAAUUGCCAUAUAGAUUAGGUAAGAGAGAGAGAGAGAGAAUAUCAGUUAACAGAGAGACCAGGAAAUUUGGAUUUGGAGUUAUCAUAUACAAACGUUUAAUAAAAUUGUGAUUAACAUGUUUAAGAAAAAAAGAUACAUGCUUAAAAUUUUAAGAAUGAAAUGUAAUUUACAAAAAAGAGAAACAAAUAAAUUUGAGAACUAAAAAACACAAUAUCUGAAGUUAAGAACCAAAUAAUCUAUUUUAACAGUAGAUUAAAUAUAGGUGAACAGAGGAUUAAUGAACUAGAAGAUGAAUCAGUAGAAAAUAUAGACUAAAGUAUGGAGCAGAGAAAAGAAUGAUAUAUAGAGAAAAUAACAUAACUGGGGCUGGCCUGGUGGUGCAGUGGUUAAGUUUGCACAUUCCGCUUUGGUGGCCCGGGGUCCACUGGUUCGGAUGCUGGGUACAGACAUGGCACCACUUGGCAAGCCAUGCUGUGGUAGGCAUCCCACAUAUAAAGUAGAGGAAGAUGGGCAUGGAUAUUAGCUCAGGGCCAGCCUUCCCCAAGAAAGAAAAAAUGAAAACAUAACAAAUAUAUUGAGAUUUUAAAAAUAUGCAGGGUAAUUCAAACCUUGAAGGAGAAGAGAGAGUGACUCAUGUGGAAGAAAUGUUUGAAGUGAUAAAAAGCCACAAAUUUUCCCAAACUGACAAAAGACAUUAAGCCACAGGUUCAAAAAUCACUACAAAUCCAACACUGGCUAAAAGAAAUCUACUUGUAGGAAUAUCGUCAUAAGUCUUAAGAAACCCAAGACAAAGAAAAACUUGAAAGCAAGUAGAAAAACCUUGAAAGGAGUCUUCAAAGGAACAAAGACUUUUAGCUGAUUUCUUAAGGGAAAUAAUCAAAGCCAGAAGACAAUGAUAUAAUGUGUUUAGUUUUGAAAGAAAAUAACUGUCAACUUAGGAUUCUAUACUCAGAGAAUAUAUUUAAAAUGAAGCCAAAAUAAAGUCAUAUUUAUAUAAAAACAGAAACAAUUUGUCAUCAGCAUACUUUCACUAAAAAAUGCCAUAGUGAGUUCUUUAGGCAGAAGUAAAAUUAUCCCAGAUGGAAAAAUAAUUGUAGAAAGGAACACAAAACAAUAGAAAGGAUAAAUAUAUGAACAAAUGUAAAUAUACCGUUUUCAUAAAACAAUAAUAAUAACAACAUCUUAUGAAGUUUAAAAUAUACAUAUAAUAAAAUAUAUGACAACAAAGCUCAAAAAGAGGGAGGGAGGAAAAUGGAAUUUAAAAUGUUUUCAAGUCUGCGUUUCAGUUUGGGAAAUAAAAGUUCUAAUUUAUGUUAGACUUUACAAAUUCAGGGAUGAAUAUUGUAAUCUUUAGGGUAACCACUACAGAGAAAUAGUAAAAGAAAGUAUAACUAACAAGCUAAUAGGGGAGAAACUGAAAUCUUAAAAAAAAUUGUAAAUGUUUAUUGAUACUUCCAAGAGAAGGCAAGAAAAGAGAGUAAAAGGAAAAUAUAAGUGAGACAAAUAUAAAACAAAUAGUAGGAUGAUAAACUUAAGUACAGAUCCCUAGGAUUUGCCAUAUGCCCUCCAAAAAAUACUGUUUUCCUUUAGAGAAACAGGUCUUGUCUUGCUACUGCAUCAUGGGUAAAGGUUCAACAUCCGAU
ensembl:lncRNA